GGUGAAGAAGUUGGUUGGAAAGAGCAAAAAAGAAGCAGGCUGGACUUAAGGUCGACAACUUGAUGUGCAUGAGGAGUAGGCAUAGGCGAGCAUGGCUGCACAGAGCAGUGACAUUAGCCGGUGACCGGCCAGCACGGCCUCGACGAGGAUGCUCCACCCCAUGCUUGCCAUUGUUCUGCACCACCGAGAUGAAGAAGUUGUCUGGCUUACCAGCCGCCUGAGCACCCAGAUCUUCGCGCCCGACUAUUGAAGAAGCCUUGGGCUGAUUAAGCUAUCCCAAACAAGGUACAUACAUCCCCGUUGGCCAAGGUUCACAGAUUUUUAAAUUAAAUAUGUGCU